AUUACCGAAAGUCCUAAGCAACAGCAUGUUAAAGACUACUCAAACGAGGAAGAGGGCAAAGCAAAAAAUCCUACCAGAGGAUUAUGGGCUAUAUGUCUCAUCAAAUAUUAGAGAAACUUUUUAUGAUAAGAUAAUUAUUACCCCUUCAUUUAUAUAUUCACAUAGCUAAUUUCAAUAUUGAUUACAUUUAUAGAGACCAAGUAUGGUGAGGCAU
rnacentral:lncRNA from 1 species